GCGACACUAGCUCAGUUGGUAGAGCGCAACCUUGCCAAGGUUGAGGUCACGAGUUCGAACGUCACGAGUCGCUCCA
rnacentral:tRNA from 1 species